GUUUGAUCCUGGCUCAGAACGAACGCUGGCGGCGUGGCUAAGACAUGCAAGUCGAACGGACCAUUAAUUUAUUAGUGGUUAGUGGCGAAAGGGUUAGUAACGGGUAGGUAACGUACCCUGUGCUUUGGGAUAGCGUCAGCAACUUCAGUUACUUUCCGAAAGGAGCGGUAAUACCAAAUAAUAUCAUUUGUCGAUAGGCAGAUGAUCAAAGAUUUAUCGGCGCAGGAGCGGCCUGCCUCCUAUCAGCUUGUUGGUGAGGUAAUGGCUCACCAAGGCAUCGACGGGUAGCGGGACUGAGAGGUUGGCCCGCAACAUCGGGACUGAGACACUGCCCGGACCUCCACGGAGGGCUGCAGUAACGAAUAUUGUGCAAUGGGCGAAAGCCUGACACAGCGACGCCGCGUGUAGGAGGAAGUCCUUCGGGAUGUAAACUACUGUCAGGGGGAAGAAAGUGUACUUCGGUACAUUGAUCUAACCCAGAGGAAGUCACGGCUAACUUCGUGCCAGCAGCCGCGGUAAGACGAAGGUGGCAAGCGUUGUUCGGUAUUACUGGGCUUAAAGCGUGUGUAGGCGGAAAAUUAAGCGUUGUGUGAAAUCCCCCGGCUUAACCGGGGAACUGCAUAACGAACUGGUUUUCUUGAGGCAAGUAGGGGUGCAUGGAACUCUUGGUGGAGCGGUGGAAUGCGUAGAUAUCAAGAGGAACGCCAGCGGAGAAAUCGGUGCACUGGGCUUGUCCUGACGCUGAGACACGAAAGCGUGGGUAGCGAGGGGAUUAGAUACCCCGGUAGUCCACGCCGUAAACGAUGCCUACUAGGUUGUGAAAGUUCUGACACUCGCACAGCCGAAGCAAAAGUGUUAAGUAGGCCGCCUGGGGAGUACGGUCGCAAGGCUAAAACUCAAAGGAAUUGACGGGGGCUCACACAAGCGGUGGAGCAUGUGGAUCAAUUCGAAUCAACGCGCAGAACCUUACCUGGGUUUGACAUGCAUGUAUGGUUGCCAGGAAACUGGUUAAUCUGCCCUUCGGGGUGAAACUUGCACAGGUGCUGCAUGGCUGUCGUCAGCUCGUGUCGUGAGAUGUCGGGUUAAGUCCUUUAACGAGCGAAACCCUUGCCGUUAGUUGCCAGCGGGUAAUGCCGGGGACUCUAGCGGGACUGCCGGUGUCAAACCGGAGGAAGGUGGGGACGACGUCAAGUCAUCAUGGCCUUUAUGCCCAGGGCCUCACACGUGCUACAAUGGCGCUACAGAGCGAUGCGAGACCGUGAGGUGGAGCAAAUCGCAAAAAGGUCGCCCCAGUUCGGAUUGCAGGCUGACAACUCGCCUGCAUGAAGUUGGAAUCGCUAGUAAUCGCGUAUCAGCUAUGACGCGGUGAAUAUGUUCCUGAGCCUUGUACACACCGCCCGUCAAGUGAUGGGAGUUGGGAGUACCCGAAGUCGGUUUGCUAACCCGCAAGGGAAGCGGCUGCCGACGGUAAGCCCGAUGACUGGCACUAAGUCUUAACAAGGUA
rnacentral:rRNA from 1 species